CACCAUGUAAGACAUACCUUGCUUCACCUUUGCCUUCAGCCAUGAUUGUAAGUUUGCCGAGGCGUCCCUAGCCAUGCGGAACUGUGCAGCAGCUAUUUUGGAAACAUGAAGCAGUAAGCACGAGGAUGGAGGCCUAAAAUACAAGGCUUGUGGUGCAGAAAGAAGAGCAGAGCUGGAGCCCUGCUGUCAGUUAAGUCUCUGAGCUGUUGCUAAGACUGCUGAACCCCAGACUGCUGCUUGCAUAAGACCAAUACGUAUACAUUCUUGUCUAUUUAAGGCCCUAGAAGUCAGGUUUUCUGUUAUUUGUAGCAGAAUACAUUUCUAACUGAUACAAAUAGCUUCCGUAACAAUGGGCUAGUGAAUGCAUAUACAUUUCUCCUUUUUGAAAUGGGCACUAGAUUUUAUGUGAAAACAGAGGAUGUAUGAGCAGAUAAUGAAAACAAUAUACAGUCUAGUUCUCUGUAGAAUUGGCCUUUCUAGCUACAGCUUUGUCUUAAAUUAUGGCAUCUAGUCUCCUAUAUCUUUUGUUUCUUAAAAAAUUUAAACUGAAGCAAUCUAUUGUGAGGAAGCAGAUGGGCCACUUGUGUCUCUAGAUCUGGCUGGGCUUAGUUCUGCUCUUACUUGGCCUGAUUUCUUGUCCUGGCUUUUUUUUUUUUCUUGGUCACACCCUCCAGUUUCUUCCUGGCUCUAUUUGUCAUACAAAUCAAAUACUACUCUCUCUGUAACUGUGAUUUCAGAGCAGUUCUUGCUCCAUCAUUUUGGCCAAAAGUGAUUUGAUCUAAAGCUGUGAAAAUGACCAGAGAGAGACCAUCUGCAGUACUAUUUGCUUGUUCCUGGCCCUUCAGAAAAAAGUUCUUGAUCAAUGCAUCCCAAGUCUAGGCUGAAUAACUCCUUUCUGGAAUAGAACCCAUCAGCCAGCUGAAGGCAGUGCAUAUGAAACUCCAGUCCUCCAGCCAGCCAGCCUAGAGCCCUCUCAGUCAUUGAUUUACUUCAUUUCCUGACACGAGGGGGCACCUGAAAUUGGGCACCCUGCUUCAGCUGAGGCGAGUAGAAGAGGGCAUUUGUUGUCUCCUCUGCUUCUCAGCUCGUGAAUGCUGCUGCUCACUCCCUCUUCAGAAGUCAGGCGGCCUCUUCUCUGGGGAGCAUCCCUCCCUUACACACUUUGCAAAGUGCUAAGCUAACUCGAAGCACUCAAAAAUCAGAAGCAAAUCCAUUUGCUAAACCCAAGCAAAUGGAAAGGCAGGUUGGGGCUCUUGUUUACGAAUCAGGCAAAAUAUGGAGUUGAACUAUCCAAGUGUGGUUGCCGUUUGUCACUGAGCACUCUUCUUAUUUAAUGGAAAUGUUACAUUGUUGGGAGAGUUUUAGAGAGAGGUAGGUCCCAGAGACCCUUGAUAAAACCAAAGAGAGGGGCAGAUACAUCUUAUUCUUUACUCUUUAUUUGCUUGGAAAAUAAGAUGCUUGCAUUAAGAUUUGGCAUUUUCAGGGAGUCAUGCAAGGAUGCAGGGUCUGCUGGAGGUUAGUUGCAGAAGGCAGAGCCGUGUGGCAUUGGCUCUGCUGGUGAUGACCUCAUAACACCCUGCGUGGGAACUUGGCUGUGCUCAUGGCAGCCCAGCUUCCCAUUCUCUGCCUGUUUUCAAAGCCUAGAUCUUUAGUCUUGCAAACAAUUCCAAAAGUGUGCAUAUCCUUUCAAUAUACCCCCUUUGGUACAGACUACUACCUUUUCUGGCACACCAAAGAAAAAUUAAAUUCCCUCCUCCCUCCUGCCCCAGUCCUCUAGAGCAAAAUCAUGAGAAACUGGCCUGCUGUUCCAUUUCAGCCAUCAUCUUACCUGAGAUGGACACUGGUUCAUUUCUCAUGUGAUAGGAAUGUCAGUACUCCUUCAGCCCCAUCAUGAUCUGAAUUAAGUGCAGGUUUGUUUUCUUUAAUGCGUUUGAGGGAGGAGUUUGAAGGAGGUGACCAGUUACUGAUGUUUUUACCACACAAGUAAUACAUGAAUGCAUGCUUCUCAUGAAAGACUCCAACAAGGCAGGAAUAUUCAGGGGAAAACAUGAUAGACUCGUCCACUGCAGGCCCCCAUCACUCUUGCUUUACUCCAAGGGGCAAGCACUAUGAACACUGCUUUGCAUUUGUAUAGUCUGUACACAUUUAAAACACAUAAAUGGGAAUACUAUGAAUUUUGCUUUGUGACUUGUUUUUUCAAUGAACAAUUUGGGAUAACUUUCCAUAAAGGUUCAAUAUAUUCUUCUAAUGACUGCAUAAUAUUUUUAUACUAUAUUUUAUUUAAUCUCUUCCAUUUGAGAGUUCCUAAUUUUUCAUUAGUAGAAAAAAUAUUCCCAUGAACACCUUGUAUAUUUAUGUUCAUAUGUCAAUUUUUUUCUAGAAUACAUUUUUCUAAAAAUUGAGUUUUUUCUAGAAUGCGAUUACUGAAUCAAAUAUAAUACAUGUUUAUAGUUUUGAUAGAUGUCAUCCAACAGCUUUCCAAAAAGUCUUCACCAAUUUACAAUCCCUCUAACAGAAUGGCCUAGAGUUCAGUCCUGCAGCCCUUUCAAUGACUUUAUAGGCAUUUAACAUUUCUGCUUAAAAUUGGCAAAGUGGUUUUGAUUUCCUGCAACAGAACUCUGCUCAAGAUACCGUGCUAUGAUCUUAUGAUUCCUUUGCUUAAAACACUUCUGUGACUACCAAA
rnacentral:lncRNA from 10 species